rnacentral:rRNA from 1 species
UACGUAGGGACCGAGCGUUGUCCGGAAUCAUUGGGCGUAAAGAGCGUGUAGUCGGCCACUUAAGUCCUGCGUGAAAUCUUGCGGCUCAACCGCAAGCGGUCGUGGGAAACUGGGUGGCUAGAGUGCGGGAGAGGAGAGUGGAAUUCCUGGUGUAUCGGUGGAAUGCGCAGAUAUCAGGAAGAACACCCGUGGCGAAGGCGGCUCUCUGGAACGCAACUGACGCUGAGACGCGAAAGCGUGGGGAGCAAACAGG